ACAUUAUUUUUUGCACGAGUUUGUUUAUGUGUACCAAAUGCCAAAUUUGAUUUAAUUUAGUUUAAUUACAAGUUGGAAGUGGCUACAAUCACAAGUUAGUGUCAACAUAGCCUAACUCGGAGAUUAAAAUUAAAAUUUGAUUUCGUUUAAAAUGGAGUUGCAAGAUUCUAAGAAAUCGAAGAAAAGUAAACCCAAAAAGAAGCCCCCUCUUCCUGAGGACGACACCUCCGGUGAUUUGCUUAUAGUCGAUGAAUCCGGGGGCAAAAACAAGUCCCCUGUGAAUAAACCCCCGUCGACAUCGUCCACUUCAAAUAAGAAACGAAAAAAACGCGAUAGUGCCUCUAGUGACGAAGAAAGGUGGCUUACUGCAAUCGAGUCUGGAAAACUUGAAGACGUUGAUGACGAAUUGAAGAAAAUCAAGCCAAAAGAUCCUGCUUUGAUGACAGCCCGACAGCGGGCAAUGUAUGAGCGAGAAGUCGACGGGAGCCCCUCUGUCACAACCCCCACAUUAAUGUCACUACCCACCGGUUACAAAGAGAAAGUCAUGACGGCUGAAGCGAUCCAAAAAGCCGCGAUUAAAUCCCAAAAACGCAAACAACUAGCCGACGAAAAACGAGAAAAGGAUAAAAAGAAAACUAUGGAAAGGUUGCUGAAAAAACAGGAGUCCAAAGCGGCAAAAGCUGCGAAAAAUAAAGUAACAAAAACACAAACUCCUAUGAUUUUGUAUAGACAAAAUGUGAAUGUGACCACACUGUCUUUUCCCCCGGGGAUGGACUGGCCCUUGCCCGUUUCAGAGGGCAAGGAGCCCCCAAAACCGACACUUUGCAGCAUGGGCUGUGGCAGUGUGAAAAAGUACUCCUGCUCACAAACCAACGCACCUUUGUGCAGUUUAACUUGUUAUAAAAGAAAUAUUGCGAGUCGGAUUUUGUGAAGAAAAAUCGUUUUUGAGUCAGAUGCCGGUAAUAUAUUUGUUUUUAAUAUUUUAUUACAUAACUUUCUUUACGGUUCUUCAGUUCUAUUGAAAAUGGUAAGGCCAGUCUCACUUAUUUCCUGUUUUAUUGUUAACGGAAGCAGUAGAGAAAAUUGUUUAUGUAACUCUUGUCUACCUGGCCCAUUUGUAGAUAUUUUGGCACUGGAUAUGACGUGUAGAGGUGCCCCAAUCAGACUCUAAGUACUAUUCGUUUUUACAUUGAUCACACAUCUUCCAUACAAACAACAAAUUUCAACCACUUUUCGUAUCUUCGUGCCAAUUCAAGCUCGUGGAAUAGUGACGAUUGUACGAGAUUUUUUUUAAUAAAUUCUGCUUCGUUUUUAAGCAAAGUUUGGUAGAGUCGCGACGAUUGGACUUUGUUGAGUUGGCUUUUAAACAAUUUUGGUUGU